CCAGCACUAGCCAUUCACUCCUGCCUACAGCACAGAGCUAACAAGAUGUUUCUGUGAGCCAGUUUCUUCCAUUAAGCAACAAAAAAUGGAUCUUUUUUUCUGUUGCUGGGUGUUACUUGAGGUUUUCUGAGUCACUGAGCAGCCAUACAAGUCAGUGGCCACAAGCACUGGAGAGGGAGACCUACCCAUCCUGAAGUACUUGGAGAUGGCUGCAAAACUACACAGCUGCAUGGCAGCCCAUCACAGGAGAAACAACUCCAACAUUAAAUUCUUCAACCGUUCUCCAUCUGAAGACUGACAUGAAUGGGUUGAAUGACGUCAAAUGAGUGCUAUCCACUUCUGGAAAAUGCUUGUUGCAAAACAUAGCUACCAAGACUAACAAAGUGCCAUAAAUUUGCAGCCUUGCAAGCUGAGUUUAAUGUCAGGCAACUUUAUCUGAACUCUAAAAUAAAAAUUUAAACAUACAACUAUAAAUUAAGGUGCUUUUUUAAGUCAGACAGAGAGCUGCUCGUGGCCACAUUCUUUUGCCAAGCAGAAGAGUUGAACUCUCUUACUUCCUAGCAACAGCGUCUUAUAGCAUCAUGUAAUUCCAAGAUGUAUCUAAAAGCAGUUUACUUUUCUCUCUCAUAUAAUAACUACAACUUAAUGAAAAGAGAGGACUUUUGUUAUGACUUAGAAUGAAAUUUGUAACAUUUUGGAGGUUAAUCACAGAAAUGUGCAUGAAGCUCUAUAAAACAGAAAACACUUUUUAUGUUCAAGUCAAAAAGAUAAAAAAAUACCAAAACAAAAUAUCACCUGUGUAAUGUGGCACAGUUCUUCACUGAUUUGUAGAUAAUUUUUCUUUAAAAGAAAACAAAGAACAGAUUCAAGCAGUAGUUGGACCCUUUGCAACACCUAAAUCAGAUGGGGACAGGUAUGCUUACAAGAACAAUGGUGUAGGAUUGCUUUCCAGCAAGGUUUAAAUUUCAUUUUUAAAAAUCAAUUGCAUUUGAAAGUUUCAAACUAUAUAUAUUUUUUUGUGUGCGUGCAUCCAGAUUCUUGUCUACAUCAGAAGAACUGUUCUGUGUUAGACUAUGUGACACAAUUUUGGUGAUGUAAUGGAGAGUACUCUUAGAAAAUUUCCAUGUGAUACUAAAGUAGAUGGGACUGUGUGGGAGCUGAAGGAUUAGAAUUCAAAAUAAUUUUGAUAAAUGGGAGAAAUGGUCAGUAAUCAAUAAGAUGAGACCCAAUGAAGACAAGUACAAAGUAAUCUAUUGAGGCAAGAGAAAAUCAAAUGCAUAAAUACAAAGUUGACAAUAGCAACAGCACUGUAGAAAGAGACCUGGGUGUUACAGUAAACCACAUAUUGAAUAUGAGUCAACAUUAUGAAGCUGAUGCAAAGAUAGAAAAAUUCAUCCUGGAACAUUUUAAUAGAUAUGCCAUAUACAAGAUAGGGGUACUAAUUGUUUUUCUUAACUCACCUCUCUGAAGCCUUGGUUUGGUGUAAUUUAAUAGGCUAAUACAAAAAGAGGUUUAAAAAAAAAGAAGAAGAAGAAGAAGAUAUUUAAAGAUAUUUAGGAGAUAGAGAAUAAUUUUUAAAAAGGAAGAAUAUGCUUGUUCUAAAAAUUAAAGCCUGAUGGCAGCUGUGGCAGUGUAUGAUAACCUUCCAACAUGUAGAAGGUUCCCAUAAACAGGGAUGCUGCUGACUGUUUUUCAUGAUGUUGAGAACAAAACAAAAACAAACUGGUUUUAAUUGUAGAAGGAAAGGCUUAGGCUAAAAUAGGGAAAACUUCUAUAAACAGAAAUAGAUCAUAAAGACAUAGUGUAAGCUCCACCAUUCAGGUUUUAAGAACAAGGUAGAAAAACAAGCAUUAGAGGUUCUCCAUUCCUUAGAAGUGGAGGAAGGCAGUAUGAGCUCUGCAGUUUUUUCAUUCUAGCUACUGUUGUUAAUAGUGUCAAAGAAACAGAAAUCUUGUAACUUAAAUGACCUCUUUUAUUUUGAUACCAUACGUUUUCAUAACAAUUUCUGACAAUGACUUCACUUUCUUAUCUACAAAAAUAAUCAUAGAAUCAUAAAAUGGUUUGGGUUGGAAGGGACCUUUAAGAUCAUCUAGUU